rnacentral:ncRNA from 1 species
GUCGGUCUGGUUCUUCUUUAAAGAUUAAAAGGGAAUCCGGUGAAAAUCCGGAAUGGCCCCGCCGCUGUGAGGAAGUACGAGGAAAAGCAAUUGGCCACUAUCUGCCUGAUGCGGAUGGGAAGGUGCUUUUCCGAGGAUGAACCCCGAGUCAGAAGACCUGCCAGUAC